rnacentral:rRNA from 1 species
UGGGUAGUCCGCACGAGCGCACCCUAUUGUUAGCUGCCAUCAUUCAGUUGGGCACUCUAGCGAGACUGCCGGUAAUAAACCGGAGGAAGGUGGGGAUGACGUCAAAUCAUCAUGCCCCUUAUGACCUGGGCUACACACGUGCUACAAUGGCUGGUACAACGAGUCGCAAGCCGGUGACGGCAAGCUAAUCUCUUAAAGCCAGUCUCAGUUCGGAUUGUAGGCUGCAACUCGCCUACAUGAAGUCGGAAUCGCUAGUAAUCGCGGAUCAGCACGCCGCGGUGAAUACGUUCCCGGGCCUUGUACACACCGCCCGUCACACCACGAGAGUUUGUAACACCCGAAGUCGGUGAGGUAACCGUAAGGAGCCAGCCGCCUAAGGUGGGAUAGAUGAUUGGGGUGAAGUCGUAACAAGGUAGCCGUAUCGGAAGGUGCGGCUGGAUCACCUCCUUUCU